CAGUCCUUGUCUCAAAGGUAUCAGGAAAAACAAGCACAAGCUGUGAUCAUGGUAUGAUUUCUGGCCAGAGUAUGUCUUUUCUUUUAAUUUCCAAAGUUCAUUUGCACAUGUGUUUACUUUGUAUAAUCUUUAACCAAUAAAGCUCUCUUUUUUUAGUCUUAGCUGUGUGCGUAGAAACAUCCAUCCUUCUUUUUAUGAUUUUAUUUCAGCACUUAUGGAACUGAGGAUAAUGAAGGAAGCCCAGAAGCGCAUGGUGGUGCAUGCCAUCAACCGUAGCACUCAGGGAGGCAGAGGCAGGCAGAUCUCUGUGAGUUUGAGGCCAGCCUGGUCUACAAAGUGAGUCCGGGACAGCCAAGGCUACACAGAGAAACCCUGUCUCAGCAAAACAACAACGAAAAGAAGGUCAGUGCUACAAUCAAUGGCAGAAACUUUGUUUGCUUGGUGUACUGGCUGUGGCACUGCGUCCGUGGACUUUGAGAAAGAUGCACACUGGAUAUGAGGCGUAUUUUGAAAGAUGACAUUUACCCUAAGAAACAUAUUUUGUAAGACUCUGUCGCAGGAAAUACAGUUUGGCUUCACGGAGAUCAAGAGGAAAUGAUACUGGUUCGUGUAAGGCAUUUUCUCAAUCAAUUUCUUCUGCUGGAGGACCCCAUUUCUAAAAUCAAGUUACAGAGUUCAACUCACAAGGAAAUGCUUAGAUGCUUGGGGAUGACUGCAGAAGGCAGAAAAUGAAAACGUCAGUAUCCUCAUCAAACAAUAGGAGAAUGUACCCAGCCAAGACCUCAAUCUUGCUUCCAAGGUAUCAGAAUUCUUAAGAUCAAAGGUGGCAGUCAAUUAGUCAGAGGCAGAGAAAUGAACCAUAAAAGCAUGACAGUGCAACACACAUUAGUAGAAGCUUUGUCAUAAUUAGAAGAUAGAAAGGAUUGCUGAGUUCUAGUUGUCUUCUCUUUGAAAACAGGUAGUUCGCAUUGUGUGUGUGUUAUUAUGUUUAUAUGUUUAUGUGUUUGUAUGUAUGCAUAUUUAUAUGUGUAUAUGUGUGUGAAUACACAGUCUUAUACAUGUGGGGGGGAGGUGCACUUGCUUGUGUGCCAAUUUCUUGUUGUUUGUUGAAACAAGUUUGCAUUGAAUGCACAACCCACUUUUUUCCUAGAUUGUUUACCCUGUGAGAAUACAGUAUCUGCUGGUCCUCCUGGGUUUACAGAUGUGCAAAACACAAAUGGCACUGUAUAUGGAUGUUAGCAAUUCAAACUCAAGCCCCCAUCUUUGUACAGCAAAUGCCCUACUCACUUAGCUGUUUCUCUUUACCCAUGUUUAUCAUUGUGGUCAUCUACAGACUGUGAGGAGUCCGCAUCAACAACCAUUAUAUAAAAGUGAAUUUUUUCUCAAUCUCUUAAGGCUUAAUCUCUUAAGUCUUCCCAUCCACUCUCUUCUGUUCUUCUUUCUUGUCUCCCUCACUCAAUAUGUCCAUUUCUCCUUUUUCUUGGUAGUUAUUUUAGCAGACCACAAAACAUACGCAAAACUUGGUACAACCAUAUGAAUUAGCCACUGAGUCAUUUCAAAGUAUGUAGCACCAGCAAGGCCAGGAAUAUAAUAUUGUGAAUCACCCUUGCAAUCCUUCCACACAGCCCUUGUCAAUCACACCUCCUUCACUAUUCCCCACCCAAGUAGACACUAUACAAGCUCUCCAAAAUGCUGUCUCAGUUUCCGUUAUAAUUUUAUCAUGUAUACGUAGGGCCAUCCUUGGAUAUAUGUAUUCAUUCUCCUUUUAAACAGCCUAACAUGUUUUCUUUAAAUCUGUACUUCUCCCUUUUAUAUAACAGGAGAAGCUUACACAUGAAGACUACUCAUAUGAUUUUCAUUUUGCUGACAUCACACUCAUGAUGUGGUUCCGGGCCUUCCUAUGCUCCCUGUAUCUCUUGUAGACAGCUGCUACUUGCCGCAGGUUUAACCCAUUUGCAAAACUAGAGAUAGCAUUGCUCUCAUAUAGGAAGAAACACUUCUAUUGUGUAUCAUUUUGUGAUGCUGGUGGUAACUGAUGCUUAAUGCUUGGACCCCUUGUAUGGAGUCUGACAUGAACUGUGCUUGAGUUUUCCACCUGUCCUUCACGGAUACUCCAUGAGAUUCAGUCUGUGCCGUCACAUGUAACACCUUCCAGUAUUCACAUUUUUAACAAAACACUUUCCAGAUCCUCCAACAUGGUGGAGAGAUCACAGAUGGAUGGUGCCCACCAACGAGGGCAAUCAACAAAGUACACAGAAAGGAGAAAUUACAGUCCUGACUCAUCAAGGGGCUGAGAUUCAUGCUGCACAUGAGUCAGCACCUCCUGACUUCCCAAGGCCGCCAGUGGAAGUGGGAAGCAUUUCUCAAAAUGUGUCCAUUGGGAGUUGACAGAAAUUAGGUAGUGAGUUCUGGGACUUGAGAAACAGCAGGCUGAGGCAAAGCAACCCACACACCUCUUCUUAAAACAGAACAAAGUAAGGAAGUGGCAAACAUUUGUACAAAGAUAUUAAUGAAGAAAUCAAAAGGUCCAAGGAGAACAGUAUCCGUGUUACCAUUUAACUAAUAGAUAUUUAUUCAUUUCUCUUUAAAAAAAAUGUGUUCUAGUUUUCUUACCUUAUACCAAGUGACAGUUGGUUUGACACUGGAAGGAAAGUAUCCAUCUACAUUUGGACACUGGAUCUUAUGAAUGCCAUGUUCGAUGUACAGUCUGUGCACGGGAAGUCUCAUGGGAGAAUUGAAGCAGCUGUCCUUCUGAACAACUUCCAGGGGAAAAGCAACUUUGCUGCAGUAUGUUGUGUUCCUGGAAAUACAAGCACGCAGUGAGCAGGGAGGCGCAUCUGCAUUUUGAUUUAAUAUAGCUGAGCCUUCUUUAUAUGUGUGAAUCCAUUUGAAUAUUAAGUAACUUACUGAGAUAUUUUUUAUACCAAUUAGAUCCGCACACUAAAAAGCAAACAGAAAUAUCUUCUCUUAAUGUACUGAAAUAUUUAUAUUCUACACAUGACCUUAAAUGUGCACUUAAAGUGUUCAAUUAGAACACUCUCAGCAGUAGUAUUUUUACUAAGGCAAAAGCAAGGAUGGCAUAUUUAAGGGUGCAACCAACUUUUGAAAGUAAAAAGUUCCUAGGACGUUAGCUUCUGACCUGUAAGUUUUGAAAUUUUUUUUAUUGUUGUGGUGGUGGAUUUAAAUGAUCAGAAUUUUACAAAGGGAAAAUAGAGCCAGUACAUAAUCCAGUAUGUCCAGCCAGUGUUAUCUCUGACAGGAAAACAUGGAAAUUAAUUAAAAAGCAAGCAAAAAAGGUCACAAAGAAAGCUAUGAUGUAGUUUUCAAAAUUGUUGAGUGUAUCUACAGGCAAAUGUGAAAGGCAAAAACAGGCACAGAAACAUCUUACAGUUGGUAGAAAAGUGUGCAUUAGGAUUUGUCUAGACUGAGGCACAUCUCUAUCAAGCACCUUGGACAUUCCUUCAUUAAAUAUGCAACAAUUCAAUAUACUAUAUGAGUAUAUUAUAGCCAUUGCCAAUAAUCUUGGUAAGAUGUAACAUUGCCCUUUGAAUACGAGAGUAUGAGCAAAAAAAUAUAGGAAAAUGGAUCUGACUCCAGAGCCUUAGACAUACCCAAACUUGUCUAGUAGUUUGAAUGAGAAUGCCCCCGAAGCCAUUAAAUACCUGGCUCCAGGUGGUAGAACCGUGUAGGUGGGACUAAAAGGUGUGACCUUGUUGGAGGAAGUGUACCACUGGGGGUGAACUCUGAGGCUUCAAAAGCCCAUGCCCUUCUCAGUUAGCUUUCUCAGUCUAGUGGUUAUCUUCCUUAUGCCUCCAUGGCUGCUGUCAUGCUCUCUACCUUGAUGGUCAUGGAUCCUCUGUAACCACAAGCCCCAAAUUAAAUGCUUUUGUCUAUAAGUUGCCUUUUCCACUUGUCUUACCACAGCAAUAGGAAAGUAACUAGACAGAGGUUAGCAGGAGAGAGUGACAGGCCUGAUCAUGCUGUUCUAUGGAAGAAUGUGGAAUCCUUUGGGACUCCAGGCUAGGAAAGCUGUUGAAUGCUGUAAGCAGGGCUUAAGGGGCCACUCUAGUCAGAGCUGAGAAUGCAGAUAAUGAAAGAGUACUACAGGUUCUGCAUGACUGCGUGCACAGCAGAGACAUCAGCAGCACCAGGUUCCGGGCAAAGACAACAGAAACAGGCAAUACACCCUUCCCAGGUAUUUGCUGAUGCUCACCUGGAGAAUGUUAAGGGAUUAACAAGAUAAAAAGGAGCUCUAAGAAAAUGAAUCUUGCUCUUCCAUAGUAUAGGUAUGGAUGCUAAAGCUCCAGCUUUGUACACAGCCUGCCUUAGUUCACCAGCUAAGCAGUAGCAGAGGUAUUGUUCUUCUGUCUCUCACCAAUACAGUCUGUUUGAUGCCGCCACUUAUAGCAUUUUUUUGGACACAGAGAGUAAGAACAUGAGCAUCCCAUGCUCACUGAAAGCCCAUGUGUGAGUCUAGAGUUUAUUCCAAUAAAAUUAUUAUCAGAUGACCUCAAAGGAGGCUUCACAGGCUACGGGGAUUUUUCAAAGAUCCAAUGAUUCCAGACUUCCCUAUAAUGGAAUGAAGAACAUUUUCACCUAAUAAAAUUGCAUAUGAUUAUCAAAACUUUGUCUUAACUCUCUGCCAAAGAAGAGUUAACAUCCAUGAGAGAGAAAGAAAACAGGCUCACUAAUUAUUAGAGAAUGAACUGUGUUGAUAGCCUCUGUUAAUUUAAAUGUUGAGUUUUUAGCUCACACAACCUCAGGAGGACUGGAUUAUACUUGGAAUUAGGGCCUAUAAAGAUAUAAUUAAGGCAAAUGAGGUCCUAUGCGUGGACCUUCAUCCAAUACCGCUACUUCAUUAUAAGUAGGAGAUAAGACAUGGAUCCUGGAAAAUGAAGAGACGGUGAGAAGAUGGACAUAAAUGAGGCAAGCACUGGGGAUGAAACCCACCCUGUUAUCUCAGACUUGUAGCCUCCAACUGAUACCAAUAUUCCUGUUAAACAAGAAAUUGUAUCAAAUGAAAAAAAAUACAUGCUAUAUAUGACUUAAGCAAAAAAAUUGUGGAUUUUUAGCAAAAAGGGAAUGUGAGAGCUAAGUUCAAUUAUGAUGUGUUGUUGUUGUUGUUUUUUUUUUUUGGAGGGAUUUAAGUAUUCUAAAAAAUUUUUGAAGCAAAAAUCUGCAUUGAUGUGUAGGAAAAAAAUGGACAUUGUUGUGCCAUUAACUAUAAAAGGCACAUAGAUGUCUUAAGAACAAAGAUGGUUUUGGAAAACUUUUGUUGGCUGCUUUAAGUUGUAGUUUUGGAUUUCCAGGGGCAUGGUAUACACUUGCUCCUGAGCAGAAUUCUGGUUGAAAAUUUAAAGGCACUGUGAUGACUAUGUUGAUGCAUCCCAAAUAGUCUUUCUUCUAUAAACAUGCCCCGAAUGUGAUAUCUCUGCCAGGUACUUGAAUGAAAAGCCAAGCAUAACAGAUAUGAAUAGGCUCUUCAUUGUUCAUUUUCCUGGGAAAUGAUGCCUCCAGGCAAGGCAAAUAUGUAGGCAGGAUCCAGGGCCAUGAAAAGAAGCCAAUAAACUCAACCUCAACUUCAGACAACAUUGCUAUAUAUCACUUCUUAAAAGGAACCACCCGUGAAGAAUAUUCUCAAAGACAAAACUUUUCUGCAUAUCUCCUUCCUCCCGUGUCAGCUGGGCCACUGAGCUCUCGGUCUCUUGGUACUAUGGAAUCCUUCAAGGAAUAGAGCACUCUCUUAUUAAACCACAGAAAUAGAAAGGUCUUGAUGAUGAAAUCAUAACUGGAAGCCAAUUCUUGUCUGCAUAGAGAGAAGACUCCCAGCUCUUACCAGGUCUCCUGUUUGUGGGGUCAGAUCUGUAGUUUGCAACAGAAAUAUAAUGCGAACCACAACCCAAUAGACAAGGGAGCCAAAGACCUCACAACGUACAACUUUUUUUAUUUUCCUGGGAUCCUCUUACUACUAUAUGAAUAAAUCUGGCUUAACUUGGAGUUGAAAGGCGCAACCGUGUGUAUACACAUGGACCACAUCCAAAACAACAGCUGUCUGUCCAAAGCUCAAACCUACAACUGCCUGGAGCCUGGGGAGAGUAACUGCAUCAGAAAAUUUACAACAACAGCUCUUCUGAUAAACUGAACAUUUUAAUAUGUGAGUCAAGUUUCAUUGCCUUCUCAAGCUCCACUAAAACAACAAAAAUAAUAUUGUUUCCAAGACAUGAUCCAAAGUAACAACAAGAAUAAGAGAAAUGACCAUGUCAAUACUAAAGGGACCCAUUUAGUGGAUUUAAAAAGACAAACCCUAAGCCAGCAAGGAAGUGUUGGAGAACAAAUGGAACAGAAAUCCUGAACGCAACCAAGACCCAGAAAUUGUCAGCACCAACACAAAGAGUCAUCAGUGUUGUUCACCCUACAUACUGGAGCCUCUUCCUCACAUACUACAGACAUCUCAAAUAAGAAAAGGCAUCAACUUACUUAGAAUCAAAUGUUGAUUGGAUCACCUUCAACAUCUUGUCAUCAGAAUCUUCUAGUACUGCUAUGUGAAUUGAAGUCAGAGAUGAACUGAAACAGAAGUACUGGUUUUACACCCACUCUUGGAGUUUGCUUAAUUUUGUGUUUUCAAGUGCUAUGUGUGACUCAAGUUGUGGGCCAAUGGUAAGGCAUCCACAUCCACUGAGCAUCAUGAACAUCAAGAAUAAAUUAAUAAGUACAGUCUUGUGCUCAGCUCAUCCAGUGCCUUAGAAGCCUGACAGGACUGAAGACUUCAGACCCCAAUGGAAUCUAAUUGCACCAGAGUUUUCAUUUUGAAAGUGCUGUGCUGAUCCUUGGGCUCAUUAAAAUUGGAGGAUCAUCUGGUUGAACACACUCUUAUUUUGAGUCUCCUUAUUAGUAGCUGAUUUAUCAUCACUAAUACUGAGAUCUCAUGUCACCUGCUAUACUGAGUACUCUAACAACGAAGGUUUUAUCACUUCCAUGGGUCUAUAUCUCUGAUUAAUAUUUACAUUUAAAACAUGUUUUUUCCUUAAUAAAAAUAUUUAAAGUAUCUGGGUAUUUCCCUAUCACUGUCUUAGGAUAACGACUAAUUUUCAAAAUUUUACGAAUAAUACAUGUAGAGAAUAUGGUAUGUGGUAAAAUGGCAAAACUUAGAUAUCUGCAGCACAGGGAAAAUUCUCAUGUUGUAUGCUAGUGACUCAAAGUCCAGCAUACUUUCAUUGACAGCCAAGGCAUGCUGAGGUUGGCUACCCGGAGGCUAUUUAAAGUGGGCUGGCUUUACCCAGGGUCAGAUGAUUGUUCAAGGUUCCUGAAUAAACUGCAUUGAAAAAAAAAAACAACUUAGAUAUCAUUUAUUUGAAAUGAAGUAAAGUAAAAGUCUCAAACAAAGGUAAAGAAUAUGUCUCUGAAAAAUUCCUAUUUGUCAACUAAGCCAUCAAAAGGAAGGAGAUGGAAGUGAGAAGCAGGAGGCGAGAUGAGGGGCUGAGAGCAUCCAUCAUCCAUCCUCAUGUCACUUGUGCUGUUCAAUAGUACUGGGCUAAUAACUUGGCAGAUGGCUUUCCUGGACCAGAUAAUUAGAAAUACCUUACUCCCACCAAAAAAGUAGAAUUUUCUUGAUUGAGUAAUUUGAAGAAAAUAGAAAAUAGCCCUCGGCAGAUGAUAGCAGAUGAUAAGGUUUGCCAGAUAAGGGAAGGAUGCCAAAUUCAGAAAAAUGCUCUGGCUGGGGAGGAGAAUCCACAAGACACCCUUUAGAUGUGUACUUAGAGACUGCUCCAGAACAAACUUGCUCAAAAGUACACCAGUCCUCUGUGUAACACCAGCUAUUUCUCUUUACAUUCUCCUGAUGGCUGUCAUUUUAGGUCAACUGGAAUUGGCAACCUUCUUUGAUUCAAAGAAAAAGAAAAAGCAGAUGUGAUUAGCAGCCAAACACAAAAACAAAUAGAAAGGGAAAGGGGAGACCAGGAACGAAAAGAAAGAAAGGCAAUACACAGCUGCUGAUCAGAUGACAACAAUCAAUUAUGAUGUUUAAAUUAAAAACUAUAGUAGCUAAUACCCGAAGUUACAAAAUGAAAGUAUCUACAGGGAUGUUCAGAGCCAAGGUAUUUCAGACAACAUGUUUUAUUGUGUCAAUA